AGUGAACGCUGGCGGCAGGCCUAAUACAUGCAAGUCGAACGGCAGCACAGCAGAGCUUGCUCUGUGGGUGGCGAGUGGCGGACGGGUGAGGAAUACGUGGGAAUCUGCCCAGUCGUGGGGGAUAACGUAGGGAAACUUACGCUAAUACCGCAUGCGCCCUUUGGGGGAAAGCCGGGGAUCUUCGGACCUGGCGCGAUUGGAUGAGCCCACGUGGGAUUAGCUAGUUGGAGGGGGAAAGGCCCACCAAGGGGACGAUCCGUAGCUGGUCUGAGGGGAUGCUCAGCCACACUGGAACUGAGACACGGUCCAGACUCCUACGGGAGGCAGCAGUAGGGAAUAUUGGACAAUGGGCGCAAGCCUGAUCCAGCCAUGCCGCGUGAGUGAAGAAGGCCCUCGGGUUGUAAAGCUCUUUUGUUGGGGAAGAAAAGCCUUGGGUUAAUACCCUGAGGUUCUGACGGUACCCAAAGAAUAAGCACCGGCUAACUUCGUGCCAGCAGCCGCCGCAG
rnacentral:rRNA from 1 species